AUGAGUGUGUGUUUAGAUCUUGCAGAAGUGAAACUCCAUGUUGGAGGAAGACGGGACAGACCGAGGAGGAGAAGGAGGAGGAGGAGGCAUCCGUGGAGAGUGGACAGGCGGGACAGCUGGACCAUGUGUAAUGUGUCAGUUUGCUUCUGUGCCACUAUUGUGUUGCUGAUGUUGGAAUGCAGGGAAGGCGCUAGUUUAUUGAAUAAGGAGCCAUGUAAAUUCCAGCUGUCAACAUAUGAUCACUCCCUCGGACAAAGAGAGAGGCUUUCUCCUCACUCAUAUUUGAUUUCUAGUCACAGCUACACGUUUUCCAGAGCCCUCAUUGCCACCAGGCUACAUCUGAGUAGCCUUUGGCCAGCCUUCUCUUUUCAGACUGGUUUUGCAGGAGAUGAGAGGUAGGCCAAAGUCAAGGAACCAAGGGCUGCCUACAUGCAGGGAGCAAGUCCCAUGGAACGGACCGGGGAAGACAGCUCACCUUUAAGGGAAUAACCUGUUCAUGGAAAUCAACCCUACACAUUUGUGCAAGAUCUUCCAACUAGAAAAGUCUCCUAACAUUCAGCCUGUGGUUUUUCAAAGAGAGGAAGUGGUCAGGUACCACAUACUAACAGAAGGGCCCUGUGACAGACUGUAUUUUCCAAAGAUGGCUGCAACAAACUCCUAUCCCAGACCACCCACUGAGAAACUCCGUAAAU
ensembl:lincRNA